rnacentral:rRNA from 1 species
AUUGAACGCUGGCGGCAGGCCUAACACAUGCAAGUCGAACGGUAGCAGGAAGACGCUUGCUUCUUUGCUGACGAGUGGCGGACGGGUGAGUAAUGUCUGGGAAACUGCCUGAUGGAGGGGGAUAACUACUGGAAACGGUAGCUAAUACCGCAUAACGUCGCAAGACCAAAGAGGGGGACCUUCGGGCCUCUUGCCAUCGGAUGUGCCCAGAUGGGAUUAGCUAGUAGGUGGGGUAACGGCUCACCUAGGCGACGAUCCCUAGCUGGUCUGAGAGGAUGACCAGCCACACUGGAACUGAGACACGGUCCAGACUCCUACGGGAGGCAGCAGUGGGGAAUAUUGCACAAUGGGCGCAAGCCUGUUGCAGCCAUGCCGCGUGUAUGAAGAAGGCCUUCGGGUUGUAAAGUACUUUCAGCGGGGAGGAAGGGAGUAAAGUUAAUACCUUUGCUCAUUGACGUUACCCGCAGAAGAAGCACCGGCUAACUCCGUG